AAAGGAAUAGCUGGGUUAAUUGGUGGUAACAUUCCCAGCUUUCCAAGGAAUCUCCAUACUGCUUUCCAAAUUGGCUGCACCAAUUUGCAGUCCCGCCAGUAGU
rnacentral:pre_miRNA from 1 species